rnacentral:rRNA from 1 species
GAUGAACGCUGGCGGCGUGCCUAAUACAUGCAAGUCGAGCGAACAGACGAGGAGCUUGCUCCUCUGACGUUAGCGGCGGACGGGUGAGUAACACGUGGAUAACCUACCUAUAAGACUGGGAUAACUUCGGGAAACCGGAGCUAAUACCGGAUAAUAUAUUGAACCGCAUGGUUCAAUAGUGAAAGACGGUUUUGCUGUCACUUAUAGAUGGAUCCGCGCCGCAUUAGCUAGUUGGUAAGGUAACGGCUUACCAAGGCAACGAUGCGUAGCCGACCUGAGAGGCUGAUCGGCCACGCUGGAACUGAGACACGGUCCAGACUCCUACGGGAGGCAGCAGUAGGGAAUCUUCCGCAAUGGGCGAAAGCCUGACGGAGCAACGCCGCGUGAGUGAUGAAGGUCUUCGGAUCGUAAAACUCUGUUAUUAGGGAAGAACAACUGUGUAAGUAACUAUGCACGUCUUGACGGUACCUAAUCAGAAAGCCACGGCUAACUACGUG